CUCUUUGUGAGGAACACGCAUUUGAAACCCCAGAAUCCUCCAUCUUUUGGUCAAUUGUUUCACACUGUGCUCCUGCAGCCCUGCACUCCCCCUACUCUGACUCAGCCUCUUGCUGGGGACCCCAGGCACCGCCCUCCCUGGCUGGCUCAGGUCUGAGUGCCCUGGGUGUGGGCAGCACAUGGUAUGCUCUCCACAGCACUUUCUUAUUCAUGCGCCAAGGAUGCUGAGAACAACAGAGGGCACUGAUGAGGGGUUGGGGGUGGGGACGCUGUGGCCACUAUGUGACCUUGGCCAGGCUCCUGCACUUCUCUGGGCCAAUAUCCUCGUCUUUAAGGGGGGAUAAUAUCCCUGCCCUUUGCCUCACAAAGCUUCUGUGAGCUUGAAAUGAAUGUCUACGUGCACAAAGGGGCUGAAAGUGUGGCUACAGGGCAUUAUAAUCAUGUAACCAAAGGAGGGGCUUUAUGGGACAACAGAUGAAGAGCCUCGGAAGAGCAGACCCAGCCCAGCUGGGGAGGGAAGGGCUUCCCAGACUGGUGUUUUGCUUUGAGCUGCAUCCCUGAGACCAAAGUCUUCUGUGUAAUCAUUCACCAAGCUGACCCUGCCAGGGAGAAGGAGAGUGAGCAGGCCUGAAUGUCAUGGGGAGGCCAAAUUUGGACAUGGGUUAGGAGCUUGGCUAAUGCAGGAGGUGAAAUGUGCCCAGGGGCUGGGGGAGGGGAGGAACUGCAUUCCCCAGGACGGCCUGGCGGUUUCAGUGAUGACUAGGGGUGGGGGCUCCAGUCAGUCUCUUCCUAGGCUCAGGGGCUCAUGACGGAUUGGCACAGAAAAUGUACUUCCUUUUCCCAAGGUGAGCUGUGCGCUCUGGGCCCUGGAAAGGGGGAGCCUACCCCGAAGAGUCAGGCAGCAGGCAAAAGGCAGGUGGGGGUGGGGAGAGGGUCCAGCCAGGGAUGUGUAAAUGGGAGGAUGCAGGAUGGGGGGAACUGCUCCACACACAGGCCCUUGGGGCUGAAAUAACAAAAGCCACACCAGCGGCACUUCCUGUACUUCUGGGGUUAGAAAGUGCCUGCCAUCUAUUAUUCAUUCUUUCCUUUCUCCAACCAGAGGUCUGAGCCUAGCCUGGGUGAGGGACCAUGAGGUAGGAGCCUGGUGUAUUGAGUGUAUGGGGAUGCAGAGGGGGCAUGUGGUCAGGGAAGGUGGAAGAAAAUCUGGUUCAGGCUGAGUGGAAGCCAGAGACAAAGCCCCUGACAGCAGGGGCUGCUGCAGCUGAGUGUACAUGUGUGCACCUGGGGAGGGCACCAUUCACAAAGCCUACUCAGCCCCCAGGUUCGGGGGCUGUAAAUGGGAAAGAGGUGCUGGGGUGGGAGGAGGCUGCUUCACCCACAGAGUGCCUGUCCUCCCUCCCCUCCAUUAAGGGGCUUUUUACAGUAUGAAUGGUGUCCCCUGGAGUUGUGCAACAGGAGCCCAGAGCCCUCAACCAGGCUACUAAACAGGGCCACUGACCUGACCUGCCCAGAGCUGAGGAUGCAGAGAGGAAGCAUGAAAGACUCCCAUGUCCUCCCUGCUGGAAACACCUGGAUAAAGCUCAUUUCCAGAGGCCAUGUGGGAAACUGAUUGAGAGCAGGUCAAAGCAGCAUGUUAGAAGAAAAAGCACAGCUGGAGUGCCGCCACCACCCUUUUGGCCCCUGCUCUUGGUGCACACUGCUUUCCAGGCCUCAGGACCAUUCUCCAACUCCUCCUUGAGCUCUGCUCUGGCCCAACAAAUCCAGAAGCCCUGAAUCUCACACCCGGGAGAGUGUACUCAUGACAUGACCCCCUGCACAUGCUGAGCUGGACACAGGGCCUGUGCUUUCAGAGCUUCUAUUCCUUGGAACAUCACAGGUGUUCCAACGCUCCAGGCUGUGCAUGUGCUUGGGAUCAUAUGUGCAGAUGGCAUCUGUGAACAGGUGUAUCCAGGAGCUUGUGGAACUGAAAGGGAAUGUCUGUGCUGAAUGGCCAGAAACCAACUAAUGCUAUGAUUUCUGGAAGCCUGGGAUGUAGUUAGAAGUCAGAUCUCUGGGGAGAAGGGGAGUGGCAGGUAGUGGAGGCUGAGAGGAAAACCCGCAGGCUGGGUGGGAGGUUCACACUCUUUCCCCCUCGUUCUUCUCCCCCAGUAUGGUUCCAAGCCCAAAGACCCAGCUGUGUAGAUCCUAGCUCUGCUUGGUCCUGAAGGGGUUCCUGGAGAGCAGACAGGGCCCAUCCCUCAGCUCCUGGAGGAAAAGUCAAGUCAUAACUCUAUGAAGGUCCUCCUGUGGGAGGUCCCAAUCUGAUAGGGGAGUAGCUUUCCUGCUCAAGGAGGCCUCACUCUGAUGACAGAAACCAGAUAUGAACCCACCUCCCUCCAUCUACUGGUCCGCUGGGGGCAGGGGUUGGGGGCAGAGAAAGUCUCUAAAGGUUGGUGCUGUGACAGCUGUGCCCAGCUGCUAAAUUUCCCCCAUCCUGUAAAAGGGUAGGGUGCCUCUGCCUCCAGUGGCUGCCAGCCUGCCAGGCCAGCCUCUGAGAGAGAGCAAAGGGCCAGGAAAGCAGCCAGGCGCAGACCAGGGCGGGAAGAGAGCUGGGUUAUAAAUAGGCCUGGGACCAGGCCUUCGGGGAGAAGGCGGAGAGCCCUGCAGUACAGCGCUUCGCCGCCUGCAACGCGGAAAGACCUCUUUUCAGAGAUCCCGAAAAGCUCCAGGUGCUCUCCAAGGUUGAGAGCUGCGGCGUCACCUCCUCUACCCAACCCCGACCCCCGGCGGGGGCGGCCGGCCCCUCCUACCUGCAAACACAGCAGAGCAGUAAGCAUCGCUGAUGUCGGUGUCGGGUGUGUGGACGUUCUCAGCAUAGAGGAUGAAGACCCUCAGCAUGCCUGCUCCGACGAGCUGUAAUCUAAUGCUCCGGCUGCGGAGUCUCCCAAUGACACGGCAUUUUGCACCUGGCUGGGCGGCGGCCGCGAUGACCCGGGGCUGGACCAGGGCUCCGGGCGCCCGGCGUAGCCCAGAUCUCGCUCUUGGACAGGAGAAGGGCUCGGCUCCUCCCCCGAGCUUCCACCCCUGGCUGAGCGCUGCGCCAAGUCGGUUGCCUCCUUCCGCCUCGGGGAUUGGAGCAGUCUCUCCAGAACCCAACCCAACCGCCUUUCCGUAAGAGAAGCCUGGAGCUGAGAAUUUCAUUGACAAGCAAGGCAGCUGUCUUAAAAACUUUGUCCCCUUUUUCUGGCUUUGAAAGCAGCACAUGCCAUUUUAAAACAAAAAGCAUAAAGAAAGAAAUCUCUGGUUCUGAAAAAAAUAGUAUAUGAACAUUUGGGUAUUUGGCAGCCCAGGCUUUCUCCUCUGAAUGUAUAUACACAUGUAAACUGCAGUAUUUAUUAUGUAUCUGAGUGUAGAAUGCAGUCUGUGUCCCACGUUUUCAUGUAACAUCUUGCAUCAUUCAAAAAUUAUUCAUAAAGAAUAUUUUCAGUAACUAUA